AGACCAUCAGCUAAGGCCCCUAAGCGGUGACUAAGUGGAAAAGGAUGUGGAGUCGCAGUGACAACCAGGAGGUUGGCUUGGAAGCAGCCACCCUUGAAAGAGUGCGUAAUAGCUCACUGGUCAAGUGAUUCCGCGCCGACAAUGUAGCGGGGCUCAAGUCAUCCGCCGAAGCUAUGGCAUUCAUGCGUAACACAAGCCGCCUUUGUGGUUGGUUCAGUGGUGUGGAUGGGUAGGGGAGCGUCGUGUCACCAGGGAAGCGCCACAGUGAUGUAGGUGUGGAGGUGACACGAGUGAGAAUGCAGGCAUGAGUAGCGAAUCAUAUGUGAGAAACAUGUGCGCCGAAUGAUCAAGGGUUCCAGGGUCAAGCUAAUCUGCCCUGGGUAAGUCGGGACCUAAGGCGAGGCCGACAGGCGUAGUCGAUGGACAACCAGUUGAUAUUCUGGUACCGGCAAAGUAGCGCCCAUGACGAGGUCCGUGAUGCUAA
rnacentral:rRNA from 1 species